rnacentral:rRNA from 1 species
CCUACGGGAGGCAGCAGUGAGGAAUAUUGGUCAAUGGCCGGAAGGCUGAACCAGCCAUGCCGCGUGAAGGUCAGUGCCCUAUGGGCGUUAAACUUCUUUUGUGCGGGAGCAAUAAUGGUCACGUGUGGCCAGACGAGAGUACCGUACGAACAAGCAUCGGCUAACUCCGUGCCAGCAGCCGCGGUAAUACGGGGGAUGCAAGCGUUAUCCGGAUUUAUUGGGGUUAAAGGGUGCGUAGGCUGUGAGGUAAGUCAGCGGUGAAAUGCCCCCGCUCAACGGGGUGAAGUGCCAUUGAUACUGCCUUGCUGGAAUGCGGAUGCCGUGGGAGGAAUGUGUGGUGUAGCGGUGAAAUGCAUAGAUAUCACACAGAACACCGAUUGCGAAGGCAUCUCACGAAUCCGCGAUUGACGCUGAUGCACGAAAGCGUGGGUAUCAAACAGGAUUAGAUACCCGUGUAGUC